rnacentral:rRNA from 1 species
AUGGGCGCAAGCCUGAUGCAGCCAUGCCGCGUGUGUGAAGAAGGCCUUCGGGUUGUAAAGCACUUUCAGCAGUGAGGAAGGUGGCGGCGUUAAUAGCGGGAUCUCUUGACGUUAGCUGCAGAAGAAGCACCGGCUAACUCCGUGCCAGCAGCCGCGGUAAUACGGAGGGUGCGAGCGUUAAUCGGAAUUACUGGGCGUAAAGCGCAUGCAGGUGGUUCGUUAAGUCAGAUGUGAAAGCCCGGGGCUCAACCUCGGAACUGCAUUUGAAACUGGCGGACUAGAGUACUGUAGAGGGGGGUAGAAUUUCAGGUGUAGCGGUGAAAUGCGUAGAGAUCUGAAGGAAUACCAGUGGCGAAGGCGGCCCCCUGGACAGACACUG